AGCUCCAGAGAAAGAGAAGAGAAGUGAGCUCUCAGUUCAGGGUUACCUUAAGCCAUGAUCCAAGGCUCAGUCGGGCCACCACUCUUCAAGCAGGAACCCCACAAUAGGCAGACCUGGGGAGAC